AAUGGAGUGGCUGAAUAAAGGUGAUAAAUUGUAAAUUUAUUUAUGGUUUAUAAACCCUCUAUUA
rnacentral:tRNA from 1 species